UUCGGUUGAUCCUGCCGGACCUGACUGCUAUCGGAUUGAUANUAAGCCAUGCGAGUCAUUGUAGUAAUACAAGCCAGACGGCUCAGUAACGCGUAGUCAACNUACCCNUAUGGACGGGGAUAACCUCGGGAAACUGAGAAUAAUACCCGAUAGAACAUUAUGCCUGGAAUGGUUUAUGAUUCAAAUAAUUUAUUGCCGUAGGAUGGGACUGCGGCCUAUCAGUUUGUUGGUGAGGUAAUGGCCCACCAAGACUAUUACAGGUACGGGCUCUGAGAGGAGUAGCCCGGAGAUGGGUACUGAGACACGGACCCAGGCCCUAUGGGGCGCAGCAGGCGAGAAAACUUUGCAAUGUGCGAAAGCACGACAAGGUUAAUCCGAGUGGUUUCUGCUAAAGGAACCUUUUGUCAGUCCUAGAAACACUGGUGAAUAAGGGGUGGGCAAGUUCUGGUGUCAGCCGCCGCGGUAAAACCAGCACCUCAAGUGGUCAGGAUGAUUAUUGGGCCUAAAGCAUCCGUGGCCUGCUUUGUAAGUUUUCGGUUAAAUCCAUACGCUCAACGUAUGGGCUGCCGGGAAUACUGCAAAGCUAGGGAGUGGGAGAGGUAGACGGUACUCGGUAGGAAGGGGUAAAAUCCUUUGAUCUAUUGAUGACCACCUGUGGCGAAGGCGGUCUACCAGAACACGUCCGACGGUGAGGGAUGAAAGCUGGGGGAGCAAACCGGAUUAGAUACCCGGGUAGUCCCAGCUGUAAACUAUGCAAACUCAGUGAUGCAUUGGCUUGAUGCCAAUGCAGUGCUGCAGGGAAGCCGUUAAGUUUGCCGCCUGGGAAGUACGUACGCAAGUAUGAAACUUAAAGGAAUUGGCGGGGGAGCACCACAAGGGGUGAAGCCUGCGGUUCAAUUGGAUUCAACGCCGGG
rnacentral:rRNA from 1 species